rnacentral:rRNA from 1 species
UUCGCAAUGCCCGAAAGGGUGACGAAGCGACGCCGCGUGGGUGAAGAAGGCCUUCGGGUUGUAAAGCCCUGUCAGGAGUUAUGAAAUGUAGGUGCGAUAAUACCGUGCCUAUUUGACAAAGGCUCCAAAGGAAGCCACGGCUAACUCCGUGCCAGCAGCCGCGGUAAUACAGAGGUGGCAAGCGUUGUUCGGAAUUAUUGGGCGUAAAGAGCACGUAGGUGGGUUUGUAAGUCAGAUGUGAAAGCCUUCUGUUCAACGGAAGAAUUGCAUCUGAAACUGCGAGUCUUGAGUGUAGGAGGGGAGAACGGAACUUCUGGUGGAGCGGAGAAAUGCGUAGAUAUCAGAAGGAACGCCGGCGGCGAAAGCGAUUCUCUGGCCUAUUACUGACACUGAGUGUGCGAAAGCUAGGGGAGCAAACGGGAUUAGAUACCCCGGUAGUCCUAGCCGUAAACGAUGGGCACUAAGUAGAGGGGUUUU